AGGAGGAGUCAUUAUUGUUGAUUUCUUUGUUUUUUGCAAAUUUAGAAGCUUACGACUGAUUUUUAUAUUUGAUGGCAAGUGGGAGGUGCUCUUUUCCCCUUGAAAGAUUUUCCUCUUUUUUGGGGGUUUUUUAUGCUAAAGGUUUUUUUUUUCUUUUCACAAAGGUCCAAGUUUGCACAUUCUUUUGCUUUCUCCUCAGUGUAUUAUGUUGGUUGGUUAAUGAAUGAAACCCCUUUACCGAUUAAAAAAAAAAACCUUUUUUAUUUUUUUAUUUUUUUGUGGUCAAUCUCAGUUCAUUCUGUUCACCCGUUUGCGUGUUCCACUCUUGAGGUGGAAGGGCGAAGUUCCCCACUGGCUUGGAGACCACUUGUUGGUCGACAAGUCAGCUUUCUUUGGUGUGCGAGCGUGCCACUGCUAGCAAUAUAAAUUCUAGCAAACUUAUUUUUAGAGUGGAUAACU
rnacentral:lncRNA from 1 species